GUCACACCAUCUGUUGAAAUUUUGCUUGGGUUAGGAAACUAAUUGCAGAAUUUGAGUUCUCUGGCUAUCAUUCUGAAUUAGGGUUAUUUUUCUACAUAGACCUUAAUACUUUAAUAGCCCAAAAGGUGAUAACCCCUUAUCACACAGAUAUAACUCAAACAUGCUCCCUUUCCAAUCUAAUUACUGUAUUGACUAGCUUCCAAGCAAUCUUGGGUGCUCAUCCAAAAUAAGCACACAUCCAUAAGUCUUGACUGACACUUCAUAAACAAAUAGUUUCCUGCUACUACUACAACUAGCUAUUGCAAUAACCUACGAAAACACGGAACCAAAUAAAUAACCAAAUUGUUUACAUUACUCCCAUCAAUAUCAACUUAUAUAUCCUCUUUUCUGGCAAAAUAAACCCAUACAAAUUAUAUGUGCUGCAUCCACGAGGAAACUUCAUUACCAUACAUCAUGAAUCCUCAAAACCCAAGUGGUGAAAUCCCCUAAUGAUACGUAGUCAAGUUCAGGCCAAGACGUAUGUUGCGAGCACACCAAUAGAAUCU
rnacentral:misc_RNA from 1 species